CAUCUAUCGAAGUUGGAUCCUAUAAAUAAGUCACUGUCAAACAGUAAAUAGAGUAACAGACAUCUAGCCAUAACUGAAAGAAAAAAACAAGACCUCUAUGUUUAUGAAUUGAUUAAGCUUAAAGAUUUGAAUUUUAGUCUAAAGGUUCUCCCACUAUUUUGGUAGAAUUGACAGUCUCUACCUCCAAUCUGAGAAAUUACUCUAAUUCCUUAGUAGGUACUAGAACCCAC
rnacentral:lncRNA from 1 species